rnacentral:tRNA from 1 species
CAAAUUUUAAUUUAAUAAAAAUAUUUUUUUUACAUAAAAAUUAUAUAGAUUUUCUAUAAAUUUGA